UUGGUUUGUCCUAAGUCAAAUUUGACAAACUUUGACCAAGUUUAUAUAAAAAUAUAACAACAACUAUACUAUCAAACAUACAUACUAUCAAAACAUAUUACAUGGUGAAUUCUAUGAAACAAAUUUGGUAUUGUAGAUGUUGUUAUAUUUUUCUAUAAACUUGGUCAAAUUUAGAUAAGUUUGACUUAGGACAAACAAAA
rfam:Dichanthelium oligosanthes cultivar Kellogg 1175 unplaced genomic scaffold Do_version_2_scaffold2321, whole genome shotgun sequence.